rnacentral:rRNA from 1 species
UACGGGGGGGGCAAGCGUUGUUCGGAAUUACUGGGCGUAAAGGGCGCGUAGGCGGCCUUCUAAGUCGGACGUGAAAUCCCUCGGCUUAACCGAGGAACUGCGUCCGAUACUGAAAGGCUUGAAUCCGGGAGAGGGAUGUGGAAUUCCAGGUGUAGCGGUGAAAUGCGUAGAUAUCUGGAGGAACACCGGUGGCGAAGGCGGCAUCCUGGACCGGCAUUGACGCUGAGUGAGCGAAAGCCAGGGGAGCAAACGGG